AUUGAACGCUGGCGGCAGGCUUAACACAUGCAAGUCGAGCGGGGGAGGGUAGCUUGCUACUGGACCUAGCGGCGGACGGGUGAGUAAUGCUUAGGAAUCUGCCUAUUAGUGGGGGACAACAUCUCGAAAGGGAUGCUAAUACCGCAUACGUCCUACGGGAGAAAGCAGGGGAUCUUCGGACCUUGCGCUAAUAGAUGAGCCUAAGUCGGAUUAGCUAGUUGGUGGGGUAAAGGCCUACCAAGGCGACGAUCUGUAGCGGGUCUGAGAGGAUGAGCCGCCACACUGGGACUGAGACACGGCCCGGACUCCUACGGGAGGCAGCAGUGGGGAAUAUUGGACAAUGGGGGGAACCCUGAUCUAGCCAUGCCGCGUGUGUGAAGAAGGCCUUAUGGUUGUAAAGCACUUUAAGCGAGGAGGAGGCUACUUUAGUUAAUACCUAGAGAUAGUGGACGUUACUCGCAGAAUAAGCACCGGCUAACUCUGUGCCAGCCGCCGCUGUAA
rnacentral:rRNA from 1 species